UACGGGGGGGGCAAGCGUUGUUCGGAAUUACUGGGCGUAAAGGGCUCGUAGGUGGCCAACUAAGUCAGACGUGAAAUCCCUCGGCUUAACCGGGGAACUGCGUCUGAUACUGGAUGGCUUGAGUUUGGGAGAGGGAUGCGGAAUUCCAGGUGUAGCGGUGAAAUGCGUAGAUAUCUGGAGGAACACCUGUGGCGAAAGCGGCUCACUGGACCACAACUGACGCUGAGGAGCGAAAGCCAGGGGAGCAAACGGG
rnacentral:rRNA from 1 species